GCGUGAGCUUCGGCAGAGAGAGCAUCUGUGAGCCAAAUUCACCGGUGCUGGGUUUUAAGGAGAAGAGCCAAGAGUGACACGUGGAGGAGUCCCAGAGGCUUAGUGGUAUAGAUCCACUGUCUCUUUUGGGUAUUUAAUUUAUGAUUUAUAAUGUAUUAUAUUGCCAAUAUUAGGGCUUUUUGUUUAUUGUCAAUUAUAUGAAUAUAUAAAUGUAAUCAUGCCUUUCAAACUA